GGGAAGAAAGCAUAAUAUGCGGUUAACUUGAAAUUAACAGAUGGCAGCUUAGACCUGUCUUUUCUCG
rnacentral:tRNA from 1 species